rnacentral:rRNA from 1 species
GAUGAACGCUGGCGGCGUGCUUAACACAUGCAAGUCGAGCGAAGCGCUUUACUUGAUUUCUUCGGAAUGAAGAGUGAUUUGACUGAGCGGCGGACGGGUGAGUAACGCGUGGGCAACCUGCCUCAUACAGGGGGAUAACAGUUAGAAAUGACUGCUAAUACCGCAUAAGACCACAGUACCGCAUGGUAUGGUGGUAAAACUCCGGUGGUAUGAGAUGGGCCCGCGUCUGAUUAGGUAGUUGGUGGGGUAACGGCCUGCCAAGCCGACGAUCAGUAGCCGACCUGAGAGGGUGACCGGCCACAUUGGGACUGAGACACGGCCCAAACUCCUACGGGAGGCAGCAGUGGGGAAUAUUGCACAAUGGGGAAACCCUGAUGCAGCGACGCCGCGUGAAGGAUGAAGUAUUCGGUAUGUAAACUUCUUUUGUCGGGGACGAAACAAAUGACGGUACCUGACGAAUAAGCCACGGCUAACUACGUGCCAGCAGCCGCCGU